AUUUCUUCCUGGAGAUCCCUUCUUGGUGGGAGCAUUUCCCUGCGAGCCCAAAAUCUUCCAAUCCAGGCAAGAACUGGAAAUAAAGGAGAGGGAUGUGACCACAUUAACAUAAGCCAAACUGAGCAGAGGGUCUCUACGUACAGUGCCACAACUUGUCCGUCACUGUGGAGAAGACAAGGCUGUGAGGCAGGUGCUUGGAGACCCGUACUGAAUUAUGCACAGCAGAAAAUCUGCAAAAUAUACUUCAAGAGCUGGAAAUUUACCGUGUGUGACUGAAAAUUGCAGAGAGGCAGAACCCAAAUUUCCAGAUUAACUAUUUCAUCAAUUAAAGCUGCAUUUGCAAUCCUUUCUUAUUUGUCUGCCCAUCUGCGUCUACUGCUGAUACAAAGCCAUCAUCGUAACAGAAAUUGAAAUGGAUAUUUGAUGCCCUGUGCCUACGGCAGCCUAAGGGUUUGGGGAGCAUUUUUUGUUUGUUUGUUUUGUUUGUUUUAAAGAAUAGGAGUUCCAGCUAAUUAAUUUUUUCCAUGUAUUUGCUUUAGUUUGUGGAAUUCCAUAGUUCCUAUUAAGUAGAGGCAGGUAAUUAAGUAAGAAAAUGAAGCAAGCUUUGCCACACACAUUGUGUUUACAGAGUUGAAAGGGCAACUUUUAUAUUUGGGAUAAUGCGGUACCUGGUUACGCAGGAACACACAACUCCAUCCCAUUCUCAACAUAUUUUGCAAGCAUACUUCAACCCUCCAGCCUCUCAUGAGUUCAGCUGCAUCCUCAGUGUGUCUUUCAGCUCUGUAA